rnacentral:rRNA from 1 species
AUUGAACGCUGGCGGCAUGCCUUACACAUGCAAGUCGAACGGCAGCACGGGGGCAACCCUGGUGGCGAGUGGCGAACGGGUGAGUAAUGCAUCGGAACGUGCCCAGUAGUGGGGGAUAACCCGGCGACAGCCGGGCUAAUACCGCAUACGACCCAAGGGUGAAAGCGGGGGCCCGUAAGCCCUCGCGCGAGUGCAGCGGCCGAUGGCUGAUUAGCUAGUUGGCGGGGUAAGAGCCCACCAAGGCGACGAUCAGUAGCUGGCCUGAGAGGACGACCAGCCACACUGGGACUGAGACACGGCCCAGACUCCUACGGGAGGCAGCAGUGGGGAAUUUUGGACAAUGGGCGCAAGCCUGAUCCAGCCAUGCCGCGUGCGGGAAGAAGGCCUUCGGGUUGUAAACCGCUUUUGGCAGGAACGAAACGGCGCAAGCCAAUACCUUGCGCUAAUGACGGUACCUGCAGAAUAAGCACCGGCUAACUACGUGCCAGCAGCCGCCGUAAAAC